rnacentral:rRNA from 1 species
GCUCAGGACGAACGCUGGCGGCGUGCUUAACACAUGCAAGUCGAACGAUGAACCACUUCGGUGGGGAUUAGUGGCGAACGGGUGAGUAACACGUGGGCAAUCUGCCCUGCACUCUGGGACAAGCCCUGGAAACGGGGUCUAAUACCGGAUACUGAGGUCCGCAGGCAUCUGUGGUUCUCGAAAGCUCCGGCGGUGCAGGAUGAGCCCGCGGCCUAUCAGCUUGUUGGUGAGGUAACGGCUCACCAAGGCGACGACGGGUAGCCGGCCUGAGAGGGCGACCGGCCACACUGGGACUGAGACACGGCCCAGACUCCUACGGGAGGCAGCAGUGGGGAAUAUUGCACAAUGGGCGAAAGCCUGAUGCAGCGACGCCGCGUGAGGGAUGACGGCCUUCGGGUUGUAAACCUCUUUCAGCAGGGAAGAAGCGAAAGUGACGGUACCUGCAGAAGAAGCGCCGGCUAACUACGUGCCAGCAGCCGCGGUAAUACGUAGGGCGCGAGCGUUGUCCGGAAUUAUUGGGCGUAAAGAGCUCGUAGGCGGCUUGUCGCGUCGGUUGUGAAAGCCCGGGGCUUAACCCCGGGUCUGCAGUCGAUACGGGCAGGCUAGAGUUCGGUAGGGGAGAUCGGAAUUCCUGGUGUAGCGGUGAAAUGCGCAGAUAUCAGGAGGAACACCGGUGGCGAAGGCGGAUCUCUGGGCCGAUACUGACGCUGAGGAGCGAAAGCGUGGGGAGCGAACAGGAUUAGAUACCCUGGUAGUCCACGCCGUAAACGGUGGGCACUA